GCGAGAUGCAUAGCGGUUGAAAAAUGGGAUGGAUAUUUUGCACCAAGAUCACCUGCCUGAACUGCAGUCUCCUUCUGUUAUCUGGAUUGAGCGGAAGAAUACUUUGGACGUAACCCACGAAGGAGAAUUUGCCACUCUGCUGUUCUGGCUGCAGCCUCCACAUGUUUGAAGAGUUUUACCCAACUCUGGGUUUGUCAGCAAUCCAGGCUGCACAACGCAUAAAUGUAGCAGUGCCGGGAGCCAACAUGUUUGUGGAUUUAAUGGGAAUUGCAAAACACUGAAACAUCCUGUUCCAGAAAGGAGACUAAUACAGGAGCAAGAGGUUAGAAAAAGCCUCUCGUGAGAAAGAAGUGACAAGUUUGAAGACAUAAGUGUGUGGCAGAAAGUGAGAAAGAACUGGAAUUUCCCAGCUCUUUGGCAGAAAAAGGUGCAGAUGAGACAUGCAAGAGCCACUUUAUCCUACCUGGAACACUGGAGCUGAUUACCAAAGGCUUUUCUAAUGUGUCCCUGGAGAGCCACAGAGCAAUACAGACAAUUCCAGCAUCUCACUUGUACCUCGGGAAGCAAAGAAGAGCUACAUUUAAGAUGGAAAAGAUAUUAAAACCCAGAAAGCUCUUCCACUGACCGGGGGCACCACAGGAAUUCCUUUUGCUUUGAACAGACGCAGCGCCCUUCCUCCUCCUCACUGCUGUUUCCCACUGAGCGUCUGCUGGGAUGAGCUGGUUGGUGGCCAUGGCUUAGAAGAUUAUAUCCACUAAGUUUAUUUAGCCAGGAAUACUGAUCCCAGAAGGACACGGAUGCCCAAACAAGGAAGAGCUCCCGCUGUGACGCCCGUACUUUGCUGUAAGUGGAGGUGCUUUGCCAUGGAAGUGUUCUCCAUUUGCCACCACUGCUCUUGUGUAAGAGGUGAAAAAGCCCCUGCUGCUCUGAGACUGCAGCUGGGCAGGGGAGGAACGAUGCUGCGAAAGAAAACUCGUGAGCGAUGAUAAAAUGGAGAAACUCACCUUGAACUGCAUUGCUAGGGUGUGUCUCUUGGAAUACAGCCACACUGGAAAGGAACCUGAAAGCUCCGAUGUUUUGCCUA
ensembl:lncRNA